AAGCAGCUUGCUGCUUUGCUGACGAGUGGCGGACGGGUGAGUAAUGUCUGGGAAACUGCCYGAUGGAGGGGGAUAACUACUGGAAACGGUAGCUAAUACCGCAUAACGUCGCAAGACCAAAGAGGGGGACCUUAGGGCCUCUUGCCAUCGGAUGUGCCCAGAUGGGAUUAGCUAGUAGGUGGGGUAACGGCUCACCUAGGCGACGAUCCCUAGCUGGUCUGAGAGGAUGACCAGCCACACUGGAACUGAGACACGGUCCAGACUCCUACGGGAGGCAGCAGUGGGGAAUAUUGCACAAUGGGCGCAAGCCUGAUGCAGCCAUGCCGCGUGUAUGAAGAAGGCCUUCGGGUUGUAAAGUACUUUCAGCGGGGAGGAAGGGAGUAAAGUUAAUACCUUUGCUCAUUGACGUUACCCGCAGAAGAAGCACCGGCUAACUCCGUGCCAGCAGCCGCGGUAAUACGGAGGGUGCAAGCGUUAAUCGGAAUUACUGGGCGUAAAGCGCACGCAGGCGGUUUGUUAAGUCAGAUGUGAAAUCCCCGGGCUCAACCUGGGAACUGCAUCUGAUACUGGCAAGCUUGAGUCUCGUAGAGGGGGGUAGAAUUCCAGGUGUAGCGGUGAAAUGCGUAGAGAUCUGGAGGAAUACCGGUGGCGAAGGCGGCCCCCUGGACGAAGACUGACGCUCAGGUGCGAAAGCGUGGGGAGCAAACAGGAUUAGAUACCCUGGUAGUCCACGCCGUAAACGAUGUCGACUUGGAGGUUGUGCCCUUGAGGCGUGGCUUCCGGAGCUAACGCGUUAAGUCGACCGCCUGGGGAGUACGGCCGCAAGGUUAAAACUCAAAUGAAUUGACGGGGGCCCGCACAAGCGGUGGAGCAUGUGGUUUAAUUCGAUGCAACGCGAAGAACCUUACCUGGUCUUGACAUCCACGGAAGUUUUCAGAGAUGAGAAUGUGCCUUCGGGAACCGUGAGACAGGUGCUGCAUGGCUGUCGUCAGCUCGUGUUGUGAAAUGUUGGGUUAAGUCCCGCAACGAGCGCAACCCUUAUCCUUUGUUGCCAGCGGUCCGGCCGGGAACUCAAAGGAGACUGCCAGUGAUAAACUGGAGGAAGGUGGGGAUGACGUCAAGUCAUCAUGGCCCUUACGACCAGGGCUACACACGUGCUACAAUGGCGCAUACAAAGAGAAGCGACCUCGCGAGAGCAAGCGGACCUCAUAAAGUGCGUCGUAGUCCGGAUUGGAGUCUGCAACUCGACUCCAUGAAGUCGGAAUCGCUAGUAAUCGUGGAUCAGAAUGCCACGGUGAAUACGUUCCCGGGCCUUGUACACACCGCCCGUCACACUACCACUUUGUGAUUCAUGACUGGGGUGAAGUCGUAACAAGGUAACCGUAGGGGAACCUGCGGUUGGAUCACCUCCUUACCUUAAAGAAGC
rnacentral:rRNA from 1 species